GUAGAGCAGAGACACCAAAAGUCCUGUAAUAAAGAAUUAACUUUUUCUUUAAGAACCUUUUGCAUAUUCGUAAGUAGACUUGAAACUUGAACUUCCAGUGUAUAACAACUGUAGGUUAGAAAAUAUAAACUCUAGCAGUACGAUAGUUUGGAGGUAACAGUUUGGAUUCCUGACUUAGACACUCUACUCACCAUUUAUUAGGUGUUUGUUUACUUCACCUUUCUGAGUCUUAGUUUACUGUACUAUAAAAUAAGGUUCAUAUCAUCUACCUCAAAGGGGUGUUUUGUGGUGGUGGUGUGAAGAUUUACUGAGAUAAAGCACCAUCGGCAACGGCACACACAUGUACACAUAUGUGCUCUUUUCCUAUACUGUUGCUAGGGGUGGGCUCUAGGUCGCUCCCCUCGGAAGGCAUUUAGGCAUCACUGCUCUGUGACAGAACAUUGCCUAAUCAAUGCUAUGUGAUUUCCAGAGUGAGUCAUAGAAGGCAUGGCUUCCAGAGGUUAUGUGUUGGGAUGCCUGCCCUUGGAUCCCAGCCACCUCAUGGGGAGGAAGCCCAGGUACCUAGCAAGGCCACACAUGAAUGUCCCAGUAGACCCUUCCUCCACAGCCAGCAUCUACUAUCAGACAAAUGAUGAGCAGCCUUCAUGUGAUUCCAGCCUUCCACCUGAGUUUCCUGACUGAGGUCCCAGGCAUCCUGAAACAGAAUUUUCUAGGAUUGCAGGGACUGCCUCUUCCUCCUCCGACUGUUGGAAGGGAAUACAAAAGGAAGCACAAGACAAAUGAGCCUAUGAAACUUCCACUCAAGCUCUGGACCUACUCAAGUAGCCAGCAUACCUUUCCUUGACGCAAACCUUCCUGCUCUCCAGAACGAACUGUGAUCUUGAAUUUUGUAUGUAUGAUUCCAAUAGUUAACAACUUUGUUGCUUUACCAUUG